rnacentral:rRNA from 1 species
AGUGAACGCUGGCGGUAGGCCUAACACAUGCAGGUCGAACGGCAGCACAGUAAGAGCUUGCUCUUACGGGUGGCGAGUGGCGGACGGGUGAGGAAUACAUCGGAAUCUACUUUUUCGUGGGGGAUAACGUAGGGAAACUUACGCUAAUACCGCAUACGACCUACGGGUGAAAGCAGGGGAUCUUCGGACCUUGCGCGAUUGAAUGAGCCGAUGUCGGAUUAGCUAGUUGGCGGGGUAAAGGCCCACCAAGGCGACGAUCCGUAGCUGGUCUGAGAGGAUGAUCAGCCACACUGGAACUGAGACACGGUCCAGACUCCUACGGGAGGCAGCAGUGGGGAAUAUUGGACGAUGGGCGCAAGCCUGAUCCAGCCAUACCGCGUGGGUGAAGAAGGACUUCGGGUUGUAAAGCCCUUUUGUUGGGAAAGAAAAGCAGCAGGUUAAUACCCCGCUGUUCUGACGGUACCCAAAGAAUAAGCACCGGCUAACUUCGUG